UUUAGCUGGUCAUUUAAAAGUUCAAAAUUUCAUUUUAUUUGGAACCCUUUCUGACUGGUAAACACAAUAUUGCUGGAUUAUACAUAGAACCUUUAAGGAUUCUUCCAGGGGGACAACUGAACCUUAAAUUUCCUAGGAGUGUCAUUCAGCAAGUUAAGAUCAUUUGCAGUACAUUAAUUCACUAACAUACUUACAUAUACAGUAUUUUAAAAAUCAAAAAUAUUAAAGUAUUAUUAUAGGCAUUGUGUGUAUUCAAUUAAUGAUUUGCACACAAUUUAAACGUUAUAAAUUAUUUUCAUCUUUUAUUGCUCUUUAUUGCUCUUUAAGUGUUCUAAACUGCCACCUUCAGAAAAGGAUUUAGAAUUCCACCAAUAGUGACUCACAUAAGGGCUGACUAUCAUCAAUAAUCACAAGCACGUUAAAAUAAUAAUAUUAAAAAAAAAAUCUUUAAUUCUCCUUCUAACAAAUUAACAGAGCAUUUAAUAAUGCUGACAGUCAUUGAUGAUAUCUCUGUAGCGCUAGUGUUUUUAAAUUCAGUUUUUGUUCCCUGUUUUCAUUGUUCUUGCCAUAGCCUAUGAACAUCUGUUUGCUGAUUGCCUGAUCUGUCUGUUUUACAAUUUUGGUUUUGCCUUGUGUUUUAGACUGUUUGGUUUGUGUAUAUUAAAGCCUGCUCCAUCUGUACUUACAUCCGCCUCAGUGUUUUAAACCUGUGCUGCAUUACAGAGGAUUCAACUUUGCCACAUGACAGAAUACUUCACUUAAUCAUGGAUACAGCAGCAUGGAACAAUGCCACAAUGAUUAUGCCAGCACCAGAGUCCAUCAGGUUCAACCAGUGAUGUUCCAACAACCUUUAAUGGCACUGGAGAAUGGCAAAAAAAAUUCUUAAUUGUCAAAUCUUUUUGAGAAUCUUGUGUAUUCCAAUCCCACAUAGGGACAGUGGCUGGAGUUCCUCUUGUCCAUGCUCAUGGGCUAGUCUUGUCACUGGACAGAGCUCAUGGGGUUAUAUAGAAGCCCUGGUUUCAGAGGUAAAGCAGACUUGGUGCACCGACCCUUGGUGGGGUUAUUCAGGGGCCCUGAGGCUAAUGGGGUGGCCUCCAACACAGUGCUCCAAGCCCUGUUCCAAGAUAAGAACAAAGUUAUGACCUCCCAGAUCUGGCUGCAAGUCUUUUUGCACCAUGCUCCAAACCCUGUCUUGCACCCUUCUCCAGGCCCUGUCUCACGCCCUGCUCCGGUCAGCCAACUCUGACAAAACAGCUCCCUAACUUUCCACCAGACCAGAGAUGUGGCAUAAGAGACCAAAAGUUUUACCCAAUCUUGUAGUUGGAGUGAACAUUCUGCCUAUCCUUAUGGAGGACCAGGGAGCCUGCACAUUCAGCACCGGCAGUGCAGUAAAUCCAUGAAUGGAUUCUACUCCUGCUGCCUCCAGCGCUUCAUUACAGGAUACUUCGUCUGCCGAGAAUCCAGCGGAUUUGUGCGACACUAUCGUCUGCCAAGGCCAUAUGAUUCGCACCUACCAGGAUCAGGUUGCGGAGCUACAAGCCGCUAACACGCAGCUACAACAGCAACCCCCAGCCCAGGUACCGACCGCUGCUCCUUCUGUCCUACGGUGUUUCUGCACCGUACAGUGUAACUCUGCAAAUGGCACUACCAGAAAAAUUCGAUGGCUCAGCUGAUCGCUGCCGGGGUUUUGUUCAUGAAUGCGCUUCUUCACUCAUCAGCCUGAACUGUAUCACGAUGACACGACCAAGUGCGCGUUUAUGCUCUCUCUCCUCACUGGUAGAGCUUUAGACUGGACAUCGGCAGUGUGGGACUCACCACAAGUAAAGACUUCAGCGGAUUAUUUUGCGGGGCAGAAUAGGGGGUGAAUGAGAUUUUGAAGGACAUUUUGAAUAAAUUUGUCAUUGCAUACAUAGACAACAUACUGAUCUACUCUUCCUCCCUCAAAGAUCAUAUCCACCAUGUACACCUCAUCCUGUCCUGCCUCCUGCAGAACCACCUUUAUGUCAAGCUAGAGAAGUGUGAGUUCCACCAUACCACACUCACCUUCCUAGGCUAUGUGCUCUCGCCAGGGAAAGUGUAGAUGGAUCAAGCCAAGGUCCAAGCGGUCUCCGACUGGCCCGAAUCAGCCACAGGACAAUGUUUUCUAGGGUUCACAAAUUUCUACAGACGUUUCAUCAGAAAUUAUAGCAUGAUUGCUAGUCCAUUAACCUCACCUCUAAGAAACCCAAGAGACUGUCAUGGAUGGACCAGGCACGUGAAGCCUUCCAGAAGCUCAAAAACCACAGCCCCUAUCCUACGUCACCCUGACCCAGACCAUCCUUUCAUCGUGGAAGUCGACGCCUCCAGCUCUGGUAUUGGGGCAGUCCUGUCUCAAUGCCAGCAGGAUUCGGGGAAACUUCAUCCAAGUGUGUACUUCUCCAAGAAGCUAAUCCCAGCAGAGGCCAACUAUGACGUAGGAAACCGUGAACUCAUCUCUAUCAAAGCCACUCUAGAGGAAUAGCGUCACUGGCUGGAGGGAGCACAACACCCCUUUCUGCUUCUCACUGACCACCGCAACCUUGAAUAUCUAUGUGGAGCCAAGUGUCUCAUCCCCCGUCAGGCUCACUGGGCCCUUUUCUUCACGCGUUUCAACUUCUCCGUGACCUAUCGUCCGGGCUCCAAGAACGGCAAAGCUGACGCACUGUCCCGCCAGAUGGAAGCCAAGACUCCACAGCCUCUGUCUGACCCCAUCCUCCAUCAUCCUGGCCCCCAUAAUGUGGAAUCUGGUGAAGAAAAUAAGGAAAGCUCAUGCGGAGGACGCCCCACCAGCAGCAUGCCCUGCAACCAAGCUUUACGUUCCCGCCAUGCUUCGUCCCAGAGUACUGCAGUAGGUUCACGAGACACCCAGUAGUGGCCAUCCAGGUAUUCAGUGCACUAUGGAACUUACCCAGCGUCACUUCUGCCAUCAGGCUCUCUCUCUCUCUUUCUCUCUCUCUCACACACACACACACACACACACACACAUACAUGCACCCAGAACUGUACAAGACUAAAAAGAACUGAACUGUACAAAACUCUGUCCCUCUCUCUCUCUCUCUCACACACACACACACACUCUCUUUCACCUGUGUGGACACACACACACACAUACAUAACUUGUAUUGUUCACUAUUUAUUGCACUACCUCAAACCCUGUUAUUAUUUCAUUACACUGCUAUGUUUAUAUUUAUGUCUAUGCCUAUUUCUAUUUGCACUACCUCAACCGCUGCUACUCUGUACAUCAUUUCAUUUUUAUUCCAUUUCAUUUUUUUUUACAUUUCGCCACACGUUCUUUUUUCUUUCGGCGCUAAGUAUCUUGUUCUUGUUCUUGUAUUGUCUUUUUCUUUUUGUACCUACUGUUUUUGCACUGUAUUGUGUUUGCACCUAGUUGCACACUUUGCACUUUAUGUGACUAGGACAAAAACCUUGGACCUAGCUCUGUGUUGUUUUUUUUGUAUUUUGAUCUUUAUGCUGUAUAUUUAUGUAGCACC